rnacentral:rRNA from 1 species
UUCCGGUUGAUCCUGCCGGACCUGACUGCUAUCGGAUUGAUACUAAGCCAUGCGAGUCAUUGUAGCAAUACAAGGCAUACGGCUCAGUAACGCGUAGUCAACCUACCUUAUGGACGGGGAUAACCUCGGGAAACUGAGAAUAAUACCCGAUAGAACAUAAUUCCUGGAAUGGUUUAUGUUUCAAAUAAUUUAUUGCCGUAGGAUGGGACUGCGGCCUAUCAGUUUGUUGGUGAGGUAAUGGCCCACCAAGACUAUUACAGGUACGGGCUCUGAGAGGAGUGGCCCGGAGAUGGGUACUGAGACACGGACCCAGGCCCUAUGGGGCGCAGCAGGCGAGAAAACUUUGCAAUGUGCGAAAGCACGACAAGGUUAAUCCGAGUGGUUUCUGCUAAAGGAACCUUUUGACAGUCAUAGAACCACUGUUGAAUAAGGGGUGGGCAAGUUCUGGUGUCAGCCGCCGCGGUAAAAACCAGCACCUCAAGUGGUCAGGAUGAUUAUUGGGCCUAAAGCAUCCGUAGCCUGCUUUUGAAGUUUUCGGUUAAAUCCAUACGCUUAACGUAUGGGCUGCCCGGGAAUACU